GUGGGAGAAAUGCUUGAGUCUGGGAGGUUGAGGCUGCUGUGAGCUGUGAUUGCACCACUGCACUCCAGCCUGAGUGACAGAGCAAGACCCUGUCUCA
ensembl:miRNA